UUUAAAUUUACUAUUUAGUUUUUUAAUUGGUUUAAUUUGAUUUAGUUAAUAAUAUUUUAAUUUUGAAAUUUAAGCUAAUUAUUUAUUUUAAUAAAUUUAUAGUUAAACUAUGUUAGCUAAGUAUGUGGAGAUAAAAAACAUAUUAAAAAUUUUUUAAAGUAAAAAUGCUCUUUACUAAUUCAAAUCAAACUAGUUAAAAGAUUGGAUAAUAAAAUCAUAAUUUUUAAAAUUAGAUAGUAAAUUUAAGAUAAUUCAUAAUUUGGAUUAGUUAUGUAUUUUUUUUUUUUUUUUUUAU
rnacentral:lncRNA from 1 species